AGACACGCUUACGGUUUACGAACGAUCAUGAUGCGGAAAAGUGGAAACCGGUUUUCCGAUCAGAUCAUGAUCAAUUAAAAAGAGAUCUAGAUGUUCACCGGCAUCAUCACGGACCUUGGCGAAAUCACCAGCAUNCACGCCGACGGCGCAAGGGCAGUUGCACCGGCUGCGCAUCGCAUGCCGCUACGACCAGACGACCAUCGCAGACGGUGCGUCGAUCGCCUGCAACGGCGUGUGCCUCACGGUGGUUCAGUCCGGCGUCGAUCAGGGCA
rnacentral:misc_RNA from 1 species